AGAGUUUGAUCCUGGCUCAGGAUGAACGCUGGCGGCAUGCCUAAUACAUGCAAGUCGAACGAAGUUUCGAGGAAGCUUGCUUCCAAAGAGACUUAGUGGCGAACGGGUGAGUAACACGUAGGUAACCUGCCCAUGUGUCCGGGAUAACUGCUGGAAACGGUAGCUAAAACCGGAUAGGUAUACAGAGCGCAUGCUCAGUAUAUUAAAGCGCCCAUCAAGGCGUGAACAUGGAUGGACCUGCGGCGCAUUAGCUAGUUGGUGAGGUAACGGCCCACCAAGGCGAUGAUGCGUAGCCGGCCUGAGAGGGUAAACGGCCACAUUGGGACUGAGACACGGCCCAAACUCCUACGGGAGGCAGCAGUAGGGAAUUUUCGUCAAUGGGGGAAACCCUGAACGAGCAAUGCCGCGUGAGUGAAGAAGGUCUUCGGAUCGUAAAGCUCUGUUGUAAGUGAAGAACGGAUCAUAGAGGAAAUGCUAUGGGAGUGACGGUAGCUUACCAGAAAGCCACGGCUAACUACGUGCCAGCAGCCGCGGUAAUACGUAGGUGGCAAGCGUUAUCCGGAAUCAUUGGGCGUAAAGGGUGCGUAGGUGGCGUACUAAGUCUGUAGUAAAAGGCAAUGGCUCAACCAUUGUAAGCUAUGGAAACUGGUAUGCUGGAGUGCAGAAGAGGGCGAUGGAAUUCCAUGUGUAGCGGUAAAAUGCGUAGAUAUAUGGAGGAACACCAGUGGCGAAGGCGGUCGCCUGGUCUGUAACUGACACUGAGGCACGAAAGCGUGGGGAGCAAAUAGGAUUAGAUACCCUAGUAGUCCACGCCGUAAACGAUGAGAACUAAGUGUUGGAGGAAUUCAGUGCUGCAGUUAACGCAAUAAGUUCUCCGCCUGGGGAGUAUGCACGCAAGUGUGAAACUCAAAGGAAUUGACGGGGGCCCGCACAAGCGGUGGAGUAUGUGGUUUAAUUCGACGCAACGCGAAGAACCUUACCAAGCCUUGACAUUGAUUGCUAAGGGUAGAGAUACCCUGUUCCUCUUCGGAGGACAAGAAAACAGGUGGUGCACGGCUGUCGUCAGCUCGUGUCGUGAGAUGUUGGGUUAAGUCCCGCAACGAGCGCAACCCUUGUCGCAUGUUACCAGCAUCAAGUUGGGGACUCAUGCGAGACUGCCGGUGACAAACCGGAGGAAGGUGGGGAUGACGUCAAAUCAUCAUGCCCCUUAUGGCCUGGGCUACACACGUACUACAAUGGCGACCACAAAGAGCAGCGACACAGUGAUGUGAAGCGAAUCUCAUAAAGGUCGUCUCAGUUCGGAUUGAAGUCUGCAACUCGACUUCAUGAAGUCGGAAUCGCUAGUAAUCGCAGAUCAGCAUGCUGCGGUGAAUACGUUCUCGGGCCUUGUACACACCGCCCGUCAAACCAUGGGAGUCAGUAAUACCCGAAGCCGGUGGCAUAACCGCAAGGAGUGAGCCGUCGAAGGUAGGACCGAUGACUGGGGUUAAGUCGUAACAAGGUAUCCCUACGGGAACGUGGGGAUG
rnacentral:rRNA from 1 species